rnacentral:rRNA from 1 species
UACGAAGGGGGCUAGCGUUGCUCGGAAUCACUGGGCGUAAAGCGCACGUAGGCGGCUUUCUAAGUCAGGGGUGAAAUCCUGGAGCUCAACUCCAGAACUGCCUUUGAUACUGGAGAGCUUGAGUCCGGGAGAGGUGAGUGGAACUCCGAGUGUAGAGGUGAAAUUCGUAGAUAUUCGGAAGAACACCAGUGGCGAAGGCGACUUCCUGGCCUGUUCUUGACGCUGAGGCGCGAAAGCUAGGGGAGCAAACGGG